CCCCGCAAGGGGAGCGGCAGACGGGUGAGUAACGCGUGGGAAUCUACCCAACCCUACGGAACAACUCCGGGAAACUGGAGCUAAUACCGUAUACGCCCUUUUGGGGAAAGAUUUAUCGGGGGAUGGAUGAGCCCGCGUUGGAUUAGCUAGUUGGUGGGGUAAAGGCCUACCAAGGCGACGAUCCAUAGCUGGUCUGAGAGGAUGAUCAGCCACAUUGGGACUGAGACACGGCCCAAACUCCUACGGGAGGCAGCAGUGGGGAAUAUUGGACAAUGGGCGCAAGCCUGAUCCAGCCAUGCCGCGUGAGUGAUGAAGGCCUUAGGGUUGUAAAGCUCUUUCACCGGAGAAGAUAAUGACGGUAUCCGGAGAAGAAGCCCCGGCUAACUUCGUG
rnacentral:rRNA from 1 species